rnacentral:rRNA from 1 species
GAAUGCUGACAUAAGUAACGAUAAAGCGGGUGAAAAGCCCGCUCGCCGGAAGACCAAGGGUUCCUGUCCAACGUUAAUCGGGGCAGGGUGAGUCGACCCCUAAGGCGAGGCCGAAAGGCGUAGUCGAUGGGAAACAGGUUAAUAUUCCUGUACUUGGUGUUACUGCGAAGGGGGGACGGAGAAGGCUAUGUUGGCCGGGCGACGGUUGUCCCGGUUUAAGCGUGUAGGCUGGUUUUCCAGGCAAAUCCGGAAAAUCAAGGCUGAGGCGUGAUGACGAGGCACUACGGUGCUGAAGCGACAAAUGCCCUGCUUCCAGGAAAAGCCUCUAAGCAUCAGGUAACAUCAAAUCGUACCCCAAACCGACACAGGUGGUCAGGUAGAGAAUACCAAGGCGCUUGAGAGAACUCGGGUGAAGGAACUAGGCAAAAUGGUGCCGUA